UACGUAGGGUGCAAGCGUUAAUCGGAAUUACUGGGCGUAAAGCGUGCGCAGGCGGUUAUGCAAGACAGAUGUGAAAUCCCCGGGCUCAACCUGGGAACUGCAUUUGUGACUGCAUGGCUAGAGUACGAUAGAGGGGGAUGGAAUUCCGCGUAUAGCAGUGAAAUGCGUAGAUAUGCGGAGGAACACCGAUGGCGAAAGCAAUCCCCUGGACCUGUACUGACGCUCAUGCACGAAAGCGUGGGGAGCAAACAGG
rnacentral:rRNA from 1 species